rnacentral:sRNA from 1 species
UAGAAAACAACAAAAAAAGUUUUU